rnacentral:rRNA from 1 species
UACAGAGGUCUCAAGCGUUGUUCGGAUUCAUUGGGCGUAAAGGGCGCGUAGGCGGCGGGGUAAGUCGGGUGUGAAAUCUCAGGGCUCAACCCUGAAACUGCACUCGAUACUGCUCUGCUUGAGGACUGGAGAGGAGACUGGAAUUCACGGUGUAGCAGUGAAAUGCGUAGAUAUCGUAAGGAAGACCAGUGGCGAAGGCGGGUCUCUGGACAGUUCCUGGACGCUGACGGCACGAAG